rnacentral:misc_RNA from 1 species
GGAAUGAAAAACCACAUAGCAGAGACCAAAAGGAAGUUCUUAAGGUUUCUCCUUAUUUUCGUGCUGCCACUCGGCAGCAAUGGGGAAUGGAUGAAAUAGAGGCUGGGCUCCUAAACCAUGCCAAAGAGCUGGUCUUGCUGUUCGAAAUGUCUCCCUCUGCUUCCAGAAGGUACCCAGGGAAGAAGAAGCUGCAGAUAGCAGCAUGACUAACAGCAAAGAUGGGCAGAAUAAGUCGCUAAGGAAGACCAAAACAUCAUGUCAAGGAGCUGGUCUUACAGUAAAUGUCUCUCCCUACCUCGACAAGGUGCCCAAGGAAGAAAAGGAAUCUGCAGAUAGCAGCUUAACUGACAGCAAUGGUGGGCAAAAGAAAUCAUCAAAUAAGAGCAAAAAGGCAUCUGAAAGGGCAGGUAUUGCAGUUCAAAAUGUCUCCCCCUACUUCCAGAAGGUACCCAAGGAAGGAGCUGCAGAUAGCAACUUGACUGACAGCAAUUGGGGGCAGACAAAGUCAUCAAAAAAAGAGAAAAAAGCUGUGUGAAGGAGCUGGUCUUGCAGUUCCAAAUGUCUCGCCCCACUUCCAGAAGAUAUGCAAGGAAGAAGAAGCUGCACAUAACAGCUUGACUGACUGCAAUGAUGGGCAGAAAGAGUUGUCAAAGAAGAGCAUAAGGCCUUGUAAAAGAGCUGGUCUUGCAGCUCGAGUUGUAUCCCCAUACUUCUGCAAGGUACCCAAGGAAGAAGAAGCUGCAUGUAGCAACUUGACUGCUAGCCAUAGUGGGCAGAAAGGGUCAUCAAAGAAAAGCAAAAAGCCAGGUGAAAGAGCUGCUCUUGCAGUUCGAACUGUCUCCCCUUACUUCCAGAAGAUACCCAAGGAAAAAGAAGCCGCAGAUAGCAGCUUGAAUGAUGCCAAACAUGGGCGGAAAAACUCUUCAAAGAUGGGCAAAAGAUCAGGGAGUAUUAGUAAUGUUCUCUCUAGUUCCCAAAAGCGAAGUGAGGCUUAUCGAAGAAAAACUCCAGAUAACACAUGGAAGCCACCACGAUCUGAAGUUGGACUUCUACAAGAAGAUCAUGUGCAUGACCCUUGGAGAGUGCUGGUGAUAUGCAUGCUGCUUAAUUGCACAACUGGUACACAGGUACGAAGAGUUAUAACAGAUUUCUUCACUCUGUGUCCUGAUGCAAUGACUGCCACUGAGGUGAAAACACUAGAGAUUGAAAACAUAAUUGAAUCUCUAGGUUUGCAUAGAAAGAGGGCGGUGAUGAUACAACGCUUAUCGCGGGAGUAUUUAGGGGAUGAUUGGACCUAUGUGACUCAGCUGCACGGUGUAGGAAAGUAUGCUGCUGAUGCAUAUGCAAUAUUCUGUACUGGGAAGUGGAAUCAGGUGUGUCCAAAUGAUCAUAUGCUAAAUUACUAUUGGGAUUUUCUUCACAGGAUCAAGAAUGCCUCAUGAUAGAUUUUAUUUUUGUUUGUUCACAACUGAUUUGAUAUUUAAUGAGAUGUAUGUAUAUAGACCUGUGUCUUUUUGGAAGGAAAGAAGUAGGAACAGUUUUUGGUUCGUCUACUAUUUGAAAACCUAGUCCAUAAUGAUUAAAACUGUUAACAAAUUUGUACUUCCAUCCAUAAUUUUUAAAAUACCACAGUAAAGAAGACAACGCUCUCUUACAGGUAUUUCUUCAGCAAUUGCAUAGCAUAAACCGAAAUUUAAUUAAAAAAAAUCCGAAAGGAAAUCUUGAUUUAGUUAAAUGAAGAAAAAUUCAUGAUUAAUUAAAGUCUAAGCUAGUGAAAUAUCAAGAAAAAUUCAUAUUUGGGGGAGGAGCAGACAAAGGCAAGCCCAUGACAAGCUGGUGCUAGGGAGUAGCAGAGGAGGAUAACUAGCAACAACUUAUGAGGUAUCGUACUGGGGCUACUCGUGGUGCUGCUGCUGCUAUGUUGAUGGGAGGGCGGGGAGGUAGACAUGGGCAUAUGUGGCGGCGAGGGAGAGUGAGCGAGGGUAGGGAGAGCCAAAGGUUAGAGGACUCAAACUAUUUCUGCAACAAGGAGCCAAGGAGGGAAGUGGGCUACGACUCUGAGAGAGCUCCCUGUCUCUGGAAAAAACAACACACAGAAGAGGGGACAGGAUAAAAUACUUGCAGCCAUCAUCACUUAAACAGAGUGAAUAUGUAUGCAGGGAACUCAAUUUUGUGGGUUUUGGUUAUUUUAAUUUUUUC